UGUGCCUGGGUCCCGGCGACCCUCCUCAGGGCCACCGAAAGGUCUUGGGGCUUGGGGCGGGGGCUGGGGGGGGGCGGUCCCAGCCCGUGGGAGCCUCCCGGGCCCCGCAGUCCCAGCAGCAAACUGCGCUUGGUCGGACGGGAUGCCCGCGCAGAGGGAAGUUGAAAGAAAGCAUGCCUUUCGAGGCUGGAAAUCCGUUGGUCAUUUCUGAGCAAGAAAUCCGGGAAUCCUUCAGGUCUUCAGUCUCUGCUCGCAGUACCUGGGUAGAGAUGGUUCCAGGAAGGAGCCUGAGUGGGCGAUUCAGUUCCACAGCCGCAGUAGCACCACCCAAACUUGGAAAAAGAAUCAUGUUGAUCGCCAUAGAAGGAAUCUCAUCGGAAGUAGACUUUAUUCAGAGGGGCGCCAGUAGCAAAGAGGCUCCUCGAUUGCAUCCUGACUGCCCUGGAGGGAGGAUGUGACCAUUGGUGUAGAAGGCGACGAGACAACCUGGCCAGCAGAGAUGUAUCACAGCGAUGCACUCGCCCAGCACUUUCCCACCCACAACCCGCGUCAGACCUGGUUUCGUCUUUAAUCCUCCAGCCUUGGGAAUGACAGACCUACUUCAGAGGUCUUGCCUGUCCUUGCACCCUCCCCAAGCCCCUACCGCCUCCCAGAUUCCUGUGGUGCGGUGCGGGGCUUGUGUUCAUUCACAGAGGCCGUCAGACACGGUGCGCGGUAGUUUUUCUUCACUUUAGAAGCUAACAAACUGUUUUCAAAGGUGGGAUAUUUUCAGAGGAAGGAUUCCAAGACUCAUUCCCCUAGAUGUCGGGCUCUGUGGGACGCGGGGCGCGGGGCGUAGGAGGUCUGUUCAGGUCACAGAGCUUCGCUCGCCUAGCCCGCAGAGAGCUGUUCUUUUAGUGGUGCUGAAAGCGAGGCCAGCUCUGCCAGGUUGCCUACAAGCUGUCUAUAACUCAGCCACCGCCCUCCUUCCUGCUUAGAGUCACAGGCUGAAUGAUUCACUAUUGUCUGGCAACAAAUCCUGGUAACCACCUAAUGGAUCUGAUUGUUUCCAAUUGCAAAGCCCCGCUUCCCCAAUCCUUUCUCCACUGAGCACCGAGUGAUCUUUCCUUGUUGGUUUGAAUAUUUAAAAAUUAUGUUUAUCUAUCUAUCUAUCUAUCUACCUAUCUAUCUAUCUAUGUUUUUUAUUUUUUUGAGACAGGGUUUCUAUGUGUAGCCUUGGCUGUCCUGGAACUCUGUACACCAAGCUGGCCACAAACUCAGAAAUUUGCCUGCCUCUGCCUUCCAAGUCUUGGGAUUAAAGGCGUGCAUGUACUAUCAUGCCUGGAUGCUUUAUUAUUAUUAUUUUUUUAAUAUGUAGGGUAUAUUUUCUGCUUGCAUGUAUGGUGCCCAAGGAGGCCAGAAGAGAGCAGUGAAUCAUGUGGAACUGGAAUUACAGAUGAUUGUGAGCCACCCCUCCAGUGUGUGUGUGCUAGGACUCAAACCUGUUUCUCUGGGAGAUUAGCCAGUGCUCAUAGCCACUGAGCCAUCUCUCCAGCUCCUCUCCUUUUGUUCAGACAUGCCCCAUGGAUCACAGGCUGAGGCUAACCUGGCACUUCUGAGCCUCUGACUUCCACCAGCUAGGAUUGCAUGAGGCCAUACCUUGGCCAGUGCGUGCAUGCUCUUCUCACUCCCUCUCGGGAUGCACAAGCCAGGCUCAUGCUAUCCUACGCCAGCAGCACUAGAGCGGCUCCUUCUCCUCUCACAGCCUCUGCUUCCCUUUCCUUCUUUUCUUUUCUCUUUUCCUUUUUGAGACAAAGUCUCAGUUUAUAGCCCAGGUUAGCCUGGAACUUUCUACAUAGUCUGAGAUAGCCUAGAAUCUGUAGUCUUCCUGCCUGUGUCUUGUAAGUGAUUGGUUUACAGCUAUGGGUCACCAUGCCCAGCUAGAGUGGCAAUGAUCAAGGGGCAAAACUGACCGCCCCUGAAAUCCAUCUACAGUCUUCAUGUCAUGCAAAAUGAAGCAAAGUUCUUGCCACAGUGAAGAGGUUCCCUUCUCUCUGACAAUAAUCUAGUGCCUGCCUCCUCUCACCUGUCAAGAUGGAGCCACUACCAAGCCCUGGCUUAAUUCUGGUGUGUUUUGAAGAUAAAGCCAUUAAGAUUUGACAGGGAACCUGGAUUGUGGUAAAUGCCUUUAAUCCCAGUACUCGAGAGGUAGAAACAGGCAGAUCUUUGAGCUCAAGCCAAGCCUGGUCCACAGAGUGAAUUCUAGGACAGCCUGGGCUACACAGAGAAACCCUGUCUCAAAACAAAGCAAAAACCAAAACCAACCAAACAAACAAAGAUUUGCCAAGAGGUGGGAGGUGAAUUGUGGGAAGAAUUGUGAAGCCAGGCGGUCUGCCUGUGGUGGUACUUAUUAUCUAGACCUGCGUGUCAUCUUGCCUCCAAAGACACAUCAUGGUGAGAUGCCAGGGAGGCUCUGGUAGCAUCCAAUGAUGCUGAGCAGAGUGAUUCUGCUGCUCAGGACUUUGUCCACCUUCUGACAUGCUUUGCCCCCCAUCCCACGCCCGUUUCGGGGGAGGAAGCACAUCACAGAUGUGAAGUGAGUGGCCCAGGGUCACACAACUGGAAAGUCACAGCUCCAGCUCCAAAGGAAGAGGUGAGCCCACAGACUUCAUCUCCGGCAGAGGCAUGAAGGUGAUGAGGCUGUGUGCAAUCCCAGCUCUGCCAGUUAAGGACUUAACCUCUCCAUGGCUGUGUUUCCUUGUCAGAAGAGAUGGUGGUCCCCACCCCCACCCCUCACCCCCAGCCUCACUGUGAGGAGAUAGUGCAUAUGUAUUGCAGUUAUCAGUGCUGUUCUUACUGUUCUAAAUCUGAGCUCCUCCCUGGCCAUGGUGAGCAAGUCCAGAAGCCAGGCUGAGAAUUUCUUGCCUCAUCAUCCUGGAUGUGCAGGAGCAGAGAGGACAGAGGAGGGGCCGCGUGACUGCCUGGGCUCCUAAGCAAUUUACUGGAGGAGCUCAUUUGGCAACUCUGAUUCCAAGUUAAUUAAAGAUGGCCACUAGGGGUCAUUGCCAUGGUGACAAUUAGGCCAGAAAGAAGCCUCAUUAAGGUGCGGUUUUAACUAGGCCAGUCGUUUUUAACCUAAGGUCUGUGGGAAAGGGAGUCAGCUUGCUCCCCCUCUCUCCUCCGUGUUCAGAUCCGUUUCCAGGCAGUUCUGGCUGAGGAUGGAGACAGAGGAGGAGUCCUGAGCUGAGUCCCCCUGAGUCCCAGCAGGCCAACAGGUUUCUCUGUGGCACUCACCCUGUCUGUGAGGCAGAGGCCUUAAGGUGGGUGGAGGCCAUGAUGCCAGAGCAGGCAAAGAAGAGGGGGAUUUUAUUCAGAGUGGCCCAGGAGACCCUAUCACCCAGUCUGCUUCCCAAACUGAGCGGUAGGUGAUAAUGGAGCGCAUGAAACUUACUUCUUCUGUGUCGAACUGAGUACGCCAGGAGCUUAAAGCCUGUCUCAGUUCACAGCACUGUAAUGUGUUUGACCUAGGCAUGGUGGUUCCUACCUCCUAUAUCAAGUACUAAGACAAGAAGAUAGUGACAUCAUCCUGGCCAGCCUUCGACACAUAGUGAGAUCCUGUUUCAUGGAGGUAGAGUGUGUGUGUGUGUGUGUACGAGACUAGUGAGAUGGCUCAGCCUUUAACUUGCUUCCUUGCUUCUCUCUCUCAUAAUAAAUAAAUAAAUCUUAAAAAAAAAAAAAGAAAAGAAAAAGAAAUAAAGUAGAAGAUUCAGAGAGAUGAGCCACCAGCUAAAAGUGUUUAUUAUUCUUGGGGACUGGGGGUUGGUUUCCAGCACCCACACAGUGGCCCACAACCAUCCAUAACUCCAGUUCCAGGGGAUCCAGUGACCUCUUCUGACCUCAAAGGACAGAAAGCAUGCGUGUGGUGCACAUACACACAUGCAGGCAAAUCACAGACACAUGUAAAAGAAAAACAUAAGAUGGAGAGUAACUAAGGAAGACACUUGACUGCAUGCAUGUGUACAGUGUGCACCUGAAUAUGUGCAUGAGUUCACUCAACACACUCAUGUGCAUAUGUCACACACAAAGAUAUAAAAGUAUAUGUUCUCCACCCAAUAGUGAUACAAAUGCACUGAUGAGAAUGGGAAGUCCCAGGUAGGCACAAAGACAGACCACCCCUGCCGUACAUCGCCCUGGACACGAUGUCUGCUGACAUUGUCCAUGUGAUAAGCAGAGCACAGCCUACAGGGAGCUGGGUCCAAAGACAGGAGAAGGGGUACCCGGGCGUUGGUGUUUGUGCCCUUUUCUACUGUUUGUACGUUAUCAGGAAAAUGUCAAAUAAACUGCAGUGGGAACACCAACU
ensembl:lincRNA Gm35040 predicted gene, 35040